ACUCAAAUGAAUUGACGGGGACCCGCACAAGCGGUGGAGCAUGUGGUUUAAUUCGAGGCUACGCGAAGAACCUUACCCAGGCUUGACAUGUAGUUGACUGUGAAUGAAAGUUCAUUUUCCCGCAAGGGACAAUUACACAGGUGCUGCAUGGCUGUCGUCAGCUCGUGCUGUGAAGUGUUGGGUUAAGUCCCGCAACGAGCGCAACCUUUAUCUUUAGUUGCCAUCAGGUAAUGCUGGGCACUCUAGAGAGACUGCCGGUGAUUAACUGGAGGAAGGAGGAGAUGACGUCAAGUCAGUAUGGCCCUUAUGCCUGGGGCUACACACGUGCUACAAUGGCCGUUACAAUGGGCUGCUAACCCGCGAGGGGGAGCUAAUCCACAAAAAACGGCCCCAGUUCGGAUUGGAGGCUGCAACUCGCCUCCAUGAAGUCGGAAUCGCUAGUAAUGGUAGAUCAGCUACGCUACCGUGAAUACGUUCCCGGGUCUUGCACACACCGCCCGU
rnacentral:rRNA from 1 species